GAUGAACGCUAGCGAUAGGCUUAACACAUGCAAGUCGAGGGGCAGCACGAUUUUAGCUUGCUAAGAUUGGUGGCGACCGGCGCACGGGUGCGUAACGCGUAUGCAACUUACCUUAUAGAGGGGGAUAGCCCGUUUAACGACGGAUUAAUACCGCAUAUACAAGCAGUUCGGCAUCGAACAACUUGGAAAUGAAUUUCGCUAUAAGAUAGGCAUGCGUCCCAUUAGCUAGUUGGUGAGGUAACGGCUCACCAAGGCAACGAUGGGUAGGGGAACUGAGAGGUUGAUCCCCCACACUGGUACUGAGACACGGACCAGACUCCUACGGGAGGCAGCAGUGAGGAAUAUUGGUCAAUGGACGCAAGUCUGAACCAGCCAAAUCGCGUGAAGGAUGACUGUCUUAUGGAUUGUAAACUUCUUUUAUACGGGAAUAAUCACAGAUACGUGUAUCUGUUUGAAUGUACCGUACGAAUAAGCAUCGGCUAACUCCGUGCCAGCAGCCGCGGUAAUACGGAGGAUGCGAGCGUUAUCCGGAUUUAUUGGGUUUAAAGGGUGCGUAGGUGGUCUGAUAAGUCAGCGGUGAAAUCUCCGAGCUCAACUCGGACACUGCCGUUGAAACUGUUGGACUUGGGUGUAGAUGAGGUAGGCGGAAUGCGUGGUGUAGCGGUGAAAUGCAUAGAUAUCACGCAGAACUCCGAUUGCGAAGGCAGCUUACUAAGGUACAACUGACACUGAAGCACGAAAGCGUGGGUAUCAAACAGG
rnacentral:rRNA from 1 species